AUGGUCUCUUGCCAGCCUUCCUAUCGUUCCUACACAGAAUGGGCACCUUCUGUUCCUUGUACCCUCCCCUAGUGUUGAGUGCAAGGGAUAGCGAACUUCCCCCACUCCCGUCUCAUAGACUGUUUGUGGGAGGAGUAUUAAGAACUGGUCGAUGCUGGCAGGCAGUUCUGCAUAGGUUGCAGAGUGACUCUAGCAUCCAACUGCCUUUCUUGAAGCUCAAUCAGAUGCCUCAACAUGUCCGAUUGAUCCUUUAUAAUCCGCAGCAUCUCAUUCUGCAUGGCACGUUCCUGUUCCCAGCAUGCUCGCCUGUUAAUGUCCAGUUUCUCAGAGAGUGUAAUCCUCUAUGCUCUGAACUCUGUCUCAGCUGUCCCGGAGGCAUGCAUUAAUUUGAUGAACAUGUCCUCCCGAGUCUUCUUUUUCUGCCCUCUAAUCUGGGAAAGUCUCUGUCCCGGUGUGGAGGAUGCACUGCAGGACAAGGUUUCCACUGCAAGUUUCCAAACCUGAUGUGAUCUCCCAGCUGGAUACAAGGGGAAGAGCCAUGGGUCCCAGACCUCCAGGGUUCAGGGGAAAGAGAGAUCCUGAGACGUCCCUGCACAGGUGAGGCGACGGUGAGUGAGAAUGAGAAGCAGAAGUCUCAGCAGAAAGAUGCUGUGCAAGUUGCACCACACGGAAUAUUAUCAAAAAUAACGAAAGGGAACAUGUCCAGGAAUCAUGAGCAGGGAAAAUCCGUGAGAUUCAGCACACGCCAGAGAGAGAGCAGGGAGACCAGCCAGGAGAGAAAUUUAAUAAAAUUAUUUCCUGUCAGGGAACUCACAGGGACCUCAAAGAAACCACAACCCAACAGAGAAUCCUGAUGGGAAGGAGUUAAAAAAAAUACACCGUG